GAGUUUGAUCUUGGCUCAGAGCGAACGCUGGCGGCAGGCCUAACACAUGCAAGUCGAACGCCCCUUCGGGGGAGUGGCGGACGGGUGAGUAACACGUGGGAACGUGCCCUUUGGUACGGAACAACUGAGGGAAACUUCAGCUAAUACCGUAUAAGCCCUACGGGGGAAAGAUUUAUCGCCAUUGGAGCGGCCCGCGUUGGAUUAGGUAGUUGGUGGGGUAAGAGCCUACCAAGCCGACGAUCCAUAGCUGGUCUGAGAGGAUGAUCAGCCACACUGGGACUGAGACACGGCCCAGACUCCUACGGGAGGCAGCAGUGGGGAAUCUUGCGCAAUGGGCGAAAGCCUGACGCAGCCAUGCCGCGUGAAUGAUGAAGGUCUUAGGAUUGUAAAAUUCUUUCACCGGGGAAGAUAAUGACGGUACCCGGAGAAGAAGCCCCGGCUAACUUCGUGCCAGCAGCCGCAGUAAC
rnacentral:rRNA from 1 species